CCUCUUUUUUCAAAACCUAAAUUGAAAAUUCAAAGUACACAUCCUUCCUGUCGAUCUCAAACUUCCCUGCUGCUUCAACUGAGAUGUUAGAUCUCCAUGUCGUAUGCCACAAAAGGAAGAACCGUUGCUACUGCUCCAUUAUGGAUAUCUACUCGAUUAUAAGAAUCAGUCGGAUUCAUAUCCUGUAAAACCCUCCUUCACAAACAGAUUUUGCCUCCUCCCUCUGUGUUUCUCCUGAUUCCCGGACAAACUCAAGAGUGUACCUGCUCCGGAGCAUUGUUAUUGUGAAUCAACACGGGAAUAUACUACGCUUGGAACGCCUCCAUUUGACUGUGAAGACUUCUUGUAGCGCAGCCGGUAACGAUUAACAACUGUACGAAUCUGAACUCUUAACGAAUUUGUAGUUGAGUUGCCAAAGAAACAAUAUUGAUGGAUACAUAUGAAGGCGAGGAAACUAUUGAAGUUAUGAUGGAAGUAGCUUUACAAGGAGAAACUUUACUACCUAUUCCACUUAAAGAGGAGUAUAUUGAGAAGGUCAAAGAAGCUAUGGGACACAUACUAAGUUGGCCUAGAUAUCUAGUCAUUCGAUGCUCUGACAUGUUAUUUCUAGGAAAAAGUGGUGGCGAAACCAAAGAGAAAACCUACCGAGGAAAACAAAAAGGAAAUAGAAAGUAAGAAUGAAAAGAAACGGCCAAGAGAACCUGCUGAAGAAAACAAAAAAAAACUAAUUGAAAAAGAACCUGGUGAAAAAAGAGAAAACAACAAAGAAAUCAAACGGAAAAUAGAACGUGUCGAGGAAAAGGCAAAAGAGAAUGAAGGAAAAAUCACGACGAGAGCACAAAGGAAUCAAAGGGUUAGAAUGGAAAGAAGUGGAGUUUUGACGAUGAGUGCACUUUUGGUUGAUAGUGCAUUACUUUCAAAGUGCAUUACAUUCACCAAGCUGACCAGUGCUGUCAUCACUUCUUAUAUAAUGUUCCUGUAUGAGCAAAUAAAGAAAGAGCAAAUACAUGAUCGUGGAAUAUGUUUUAUGAACCCAUCUGCAAUUUCGCGGGUUGAUCAACGCAAACCUAAACCUAAACUCAUCGAGGAUGUAAGUAGAGCGGUUGCAGAUCGAUUGUAUAAAAGAAAGGGCAAUUACAUCAUCCUAUUGCCCUACAAUCCCUGGUUUGAUUUUCCUUUUAAAUAAGUAUUCAUAAAGACCUAUUAUCUUAAUUUAUUUUGAUUGAAUUUUGGAUUUUGGAUUUUGAAGAAACCAUUGGGUUUUGGGUGUUGGCAGUACCAAACCUGAAAACAACUACUUGCUAUUAUCUUGAUUUCUUACGGCCUAGAAGUGUCAAUGAGCAGUUGAGGCAAAUUUUUGAUACGGCAAUGGUCAUGUAUGCUUCACGAAGUGGUGCCAACAUAAGGGUUAAACUCAUAUGGAUUAACGCUAGGUGUCCACGUCAGCCAGGAGGUACUGAAUGCGGCUACUAUGUGAUGAAGUUCAUGAAGGAGAUACCUUAUGAUGGAGUUGAAAUAUUUGACAAUGAUAAUGUUGGGAAAGGAGUAGAGGAAUACUCGGCUGCGGAUAUGGAUGGCAUUCGCGAAGAUUGGUCGACAUAUGCGAUUAACUCUAUUUUUAAAUGACAAAUCGUAUUUUAGGUGUUGACGAUGUAUUGACAAACAAUUUUUUUGUUAACGUUAAAAUAUUUGUAGUAUACUUGACAAAUGAUUAUGUAAUGGAUUGUUUUGAUAUAUAUA